AGCCUUAGAGCUACAAUAUGUGUGAAUACUCACACCCAUCAUUUUAAUGAGGAUUUCCCAGUAAUAUUUGUUUGGAUGAAACUCAUCCUGUAGUUUCUUCAAGAAAGGCUUGUAGAAUAUAUCAGAGCCUUGAUUACAUAGAAGAUAAUGCUACAGUUUUUCAUGCCUACUAUCUCUCUGCAGUAGCUAAUGCCGAAAUAAAAAACUCGGUGGCUUUGGGUCAUUUCAUUCUUCCUCCUGCGUGCCUGCAAAAAGCAUGAUGAAGUAACACCAAAUGAAAUAAAGACCCUUAGGGAAAACAGUGAACUAGCAACAGAGCACAAAAAAGAAUUAUCCGAAAG